AUUGGUGUCAUUGCCUCUGCCUUAGGCCUCUCCAGCAACAUCGCUUGCCAAGCGGCCGCGACGCCUGUUCACAGAAUGACGUCACUCCCGAGGGGCAGGACAUGCCGCAUCUGGAAGUGCGGGUGCCGUGGAAUGGGAUGCUGUCAGCCGCGGCAGGGGUUGUCGGACCCGGGGGAGCUCUGUGCCGAUGGUACUACUGUCUCCCUGCAACUGUGUCUAAGUGACCAAAACACUGAGGGCUGCCAGAGGAAAAGUACUGUAGGUGUUAAACCCUCUGUUCCUUCAGGCUCAGGAUCAAAGAGGACACAUGCUGAUCCGGGCCCCUGGGCCAGAGGAACCUGCUGAGCAAGGAAUGCUGCCAGGGAUUGACCAACCCCUCUCAGAUGUUGUCAUCCUUACCUUCUGGCCCUUCAUCUCCCAGAGGUUUAGA